UUUUGUUUACAUAAAAUAUAGGAGCAAAAGCUACUUAUGGUUCUCAUUAUGGUUUUGUUUUUGGUCAAAGUCAUCCUAAACCAGUCCUUGUAUCAGACAUUCAGUGUACUGGCUCUGAAUUCAGGUUACUAGACUGCACUAGGGGAACUUACUCUGUUAAAAAUUGUGGAAGGCGUAAUGAAGCCGGAGUCACAUGCCUAGGAUCAUUUCCAGUUUUUGCUAGUAAAACUAUUGGCAAAGUAUUUGGAGGAGAACAAGUGUUCAUUAGAGGACCAGAUUUUAAGUCGGGGGACACAAUAAACUGCAUAUUUGGUGAUAUAGUGACAGAGGGUUACUUUAUCAAUGGAGAAAAGUGUCUAUGCAUAACACCAGAACAAUAUAAUGUUAGUCUUAUUGAACUAACAAUUAGAAUAACAAGGGGAUCUGCUGUACUAACUGGACGUACUAAAUAUAGAUACAUUGUUCCAUCUAUGAGUGACACUAUGGCAGAUGUACAAA